GACUUGGUAGCCUAGUUGGUAAAGGCAGCACACCUAGUAUAGUUUCUUAAGCUAAGGUUGCUGGUUCAAAUCCUGCCCAAGUCA
rnacentral:tRNA from 1 species